rnacentral:lncRNA from 1 species
AGAUGGCUAUAAAAAAUUGUUAAAAAAUAAUUUAUUUAAGUGUAUAAUUGAAUUUUCAUACAAAACAAAAAAAAAAGAAUUAAUUUAUCAUUACUUAAACAAUUUCAAUUAAAGAGGGGUUCUAUAAGAAAUUAGGGAGGGUGUCGAAAGGGCUACUCCAAAUAUUCUCGAUAUCAAAGUGAGACUUAGUGGCUCCAAAAUGAGACCCACUCACUUAAGUUUUUCUCCAACAAAAGAGCCUCUACCUGAGCAUGCAUGGCCUUUGAAGAAGCGAAGGAAUUUAUGAAAGCCCAUUUCAGGUUCAUCGUUCCUUUCACGUGUAAUUUGGGCAAAUGGAAGGCGUUUUGCUUGCUCAAUAUUGAAUCUAAAUUCUUCUUAAAAUUGAUUUUUGUUCGACUAACUGAUAUUUUGAAUUUUUUUUUUGUACAGUGCAGUUAAACAAUUGAAUUGAAUUACAUUUGAUGGAAUCAGAGAAAUUGAGUGCCGGUUCCUAUUUUUAAUUCCAUAAAGUUGCUAGACAAUAUAUUUUUAAUGAAUUUGAUAAAGUUUAUGAUGAUUCUUUUUAGAUAUUUAAAUUAAUAUUAAAGAGUAGUAUAUGAGUUUGAGGGUGCUUGUGGUUUCUAACUGAGAGAAUAUAUAUGAUAGAGUAUGAUGUAGUAACUGGGCCAGCCUUAGAGCAUCACCAAAAUUUUGUAUUCUUAAUCUAAAGUUGAGUUCUUAAUCCAACAUUUAGCUCAAAUGUGAAUAAUUAUGUAUUGCAGACUAUCAUAUAAGAUUAAAUCUAAUUAAAAGUGAUUUAUUAAGGCUUUUAGUAAUUUAGCCUUUAAUGUAUUUGAUAUGAUGUAGGCCUUCAAUGUGUAAAGACUUAAGAGUCUAUUUUUAUAAUAAGUUGAAAUAGGAAUACCUAGAGAUAACAAGUAAUUUAUCUAUAUAAGUGGUUAUGGUCUACAAAUCACAUGUAAAAUUCUAUUCUUGUCUGACAUCCCAUCAUUAUAGAGAGUGUAGAGAGAAACUUAAAGAAUUCUCUAAGAUAAUGUGUUGAUCUAGAAGAUAAACUAUACAAUUGUAAAAAGUAAUUAAGCACUAUGGAUUCAGUUACGCUUCCUAUAUUCGUUCAUUGAUUCUAGGUAAUACAAUAUCAAUAUUCCUAGUUUUUUAGGUUAUGAUUUUCACCAAAGGAUAAUUUUCUAACACAAAAGACUCCUUGAAUAAAAUUGUACUUUUUAUUUGAAGAAGUACAUUAGCAUUUAAGGCCGCAGAAAACACUCAAAUUACGAUUUUUUAAAUAAGAAAUACUUAUCUCUCUUCAAUUUUGUUGAGUGCUUUCUCCAUUU